CUUCAUCAUGUAUAGUUAGCACUCACUACAAAUACAUAAGGGAAAAAGCCAUAGUAGAGAGCCUUAGCACAGGGAAGAGAAAUACUGACUGGUGGCUAAUGAUGAAUCUGUUAUAAAAGCUACAUUACUAUGAAGUCCACUCAGUAAAGAAGUUAUGCUCCAGGACAGAACAAACUCCACAAAUAAAGGAAGAGAAGAGGCCUCAUCAAAGAAGGUGUCAUAUAUUCGAGGAGGAGCCAAGAUGGCAGAACAGCAUGGAAGUUUUUUGUGUGUGUCACGUCCAUGAAAUACAGCUAGACCAACACUAAACCAUCUUGCACACCUGGAAAACUGAUUUGAGGAUUAACACAACAAUCUGCAUGACCUGAACCACAGAAUUCAGCAGGUAUAUGGUGUCAUACUUUAUAUCCUUUUAUUUAUGUUUUUGAAAGAAAUUGGAAGCAAGAUCAUCAGCUGAGGGGAGAUGGUGUUGAAGGUUUAACGACAGAGAAGACAUGGAAUGAUUAUCUAAGCUGGCUUUUCCAUGUUGUUGCUGUCCUCCUGAUCCACUCUGGGAGAGAACAAAGUCACCAAUGCUCAGUGAAGAUCCUGCUACUCGGUUUAACUACAUUUCUCAGAUGAAUGGUGGGUACAAAAAGGAGUAACAAUGGAGGAGGACAAACAAACAAAAGAUGACUUCUUAGGACUUCUAAGAUAUAAAGGCCUCAUCCUUCUAUAAGGUAGCUGGGAUGUGGGGAUAGAGACAUAAUGGGGUGGAGAGGAGAUGCUACUUAGUCCGCCCACAUGAUGCAUUUGGAAUCUUUGAAAGAGAAGUGCCUUUGAUCACGGGAUCCCUGCCUGGAGUUCAGUUGCCCCACAAUCUUCUGAGAUCCAGCAAGAAAAAGAUCUAUUUUCUCUCUCACCCACCACUCCUAACCCCCAGUUCAAAGCCCCCCUCCAGGAAACAUAAUCAUCUUCAGAGACUUUAUUAGGGCCUAGAAUGAAGACAACUUUUUUUUGUUGUUAUGUAGAGCUAUUUUGCUUCCUCACUGUUUUGAACAUCCCAUUGUAGAAUAAUAUUCUUUUUGGCUUUACCAUUACAAAAACCCAGCAAAGGACUUUUUCCCCCAAAAUGAAAAGUAAUCUGACCACAAGGUUCAUAUUCAUCCUCCAUUUGGAGAACUUGAUAAAAGGUUCACAGUAUUAAAGUAGUGGUGUUUACCUGCUCCCUGCUUCCACUCACUUCUGAGUUACCCCCUUUUAUCAAGGUUUUUUUUUUUUUAAAUGACCCAGAAAUAGCACUGCUAGGGAUUUACCCAAGGGAUACAGGAGUGCUGAUGCAUAGGGGCACUUGUACCGCAAUGUUUAUAGCAGCACUUUCAACAAGAGGCAAACUAUGGAAAGAGCCUAAAUAUCCAUCAACUGAUGAAUGGAUAAAGAAAUUGUGGUUUAUAUACACAAUGGAAUACUACGUGGCAAUGAGAAAGAAUGAAAUCUGGCCUUUUGUAGCAACAUGGAUGGAAUUGGAGAGUGUUAUGCUAAGUGAAAUAAGUCAUACAGAGAAAGACAGAUAGCAUAUGUUUUCACUCUUAUGUGGAUCCUGAGAAACUUAUCAGAAAUUUCUCAUGGGGGAGGGGAAGGAAAAAAAAAGGUUAGAGAGGGAGGGAGCCAAAACAUAAGAGACUCUUAGAAACUGAGAACAAACUGAGGGUUGAUGGAUGGUGGGAGGGAGUGGAGGGUGGGUGAUGGGUAUUGAGGAGGGCACCUGUUGGGAUGAGCACUGGGUGUUGUAUGGAAACCAAUUUGACAAUAAAUUUCAUAUUAAACGAAAUCAAAAAGAAAAAAAAAUAAAAAAUAAAAAAAAUACUCAAAUCUACUCCCAGCUAUAGCUUUUGGUUACAAAACCAGAA